GUAUAAGAGACAGCAGCAGCCGCGGUAAUACGUAGGUGGCAAGCGUUGUCCGGAAUUAUUGGGCGUAAAGGGCUCGCAGGCGGUUUCUUAAGUCUGAUGUGAAAGCCCCCGGCUCAACCGGGGAGGGUCAUUGGAAACUGGGAAACUUGAGUGCAGAAGAGGAGAGUGGAAUUCCACGUGUAGCGGUGAAAUGCGUAGAGAUGUGGAGGAACACCAGUGGCGAAGGCGACUCUCUGGUCUGUAACUGACGCUGAGGAGCGAAAGCGUGGGGAGCGAACAGGAUUAGAUACCCGCGUAGUCCCUGUCUCUUAUAA
rnacentral:rRNA from 1 species